CAGCGCUUCUGCUGUGUGCUGUCGUUGAUCUACUCUGGCCAUGGAUCUUAGGGUUUUAGGGGAGAGCCUUGGAUUAUUUCUCCUGGUCUCUGAUAGUGGACGGGUUCCUCUACCUCCCCCAUCCCCGAUGUUUGUGGACUGUCAUCUGGAAUUUGAAGUCGAGGAAAUCCAUGGAUAGCCAUGUGGUAAAAAGCAAGGGUGGCAAACCCACUGCGUGUGGUGCCAAGCAGUUCUGACUCCUUCGGCGAUAAGGCUGGCUGCCA
rnacentral:lncRNA from 1 species